UGGGAGUGGCAUUCCAGAAAACCUAUAGUACACACAUUUCCUGGAGAAGCAUGCCCACAAUCCUGGUAAACAUCCAUGAGUUUCUUUGUUGCCAUCUAAUUGUGCUGGCACUGAGAUUGCCCCUCUCACUUUUGCUGUUUGCUUUGUAGUUUCCUAUCAGAAAGAUUAAACCGACUCCAAAGAAAUCCCCAGUACAACUUCAUAAAUGGACAUUUGAGGAAGAUAAAGCAUUCAUUGAAUUCAUAUCUGUUGCAGAAAAUCAUGCAAAUGAUUACGAUUGAAGAGGUUUACCAAUUAUGUAAUACCUCUAGUUGUUUUAAUACAUCAUUAAGCUAGAGCAAAAGCAUCACCUUUCAUAUACUUUAUCAUAUAGCAUCCAUGUUU